rnacentral:misc_RNA from 1 species
AACCUUAUGGACCUGCGGGCGUAUACCUGCGGAAGGAUCAUUACAGAGUUGCAAAACUCCCACAAACCAUCGCGAAUCUUACCCGUACGGUUGCCUCGGCGCUGGCGGUCCGGAAGGCCCUCGGGCCCCCGGACCCUCGGGUCUCCCGCUCGCGGGAGGCUGCCCGCCGGAGUGCCGAAACCAAACUCUUGAUAUUUUAUGUCUCUCUGAGUAAACUUUUAAAUAAGUCAAAACUUUUAA